UACGUAGGGUCCGAGCGUUGUCCGGAAUUACUGGGCGUAAAGCGUGCGCAGGCGGUUUUGCAAGACAGAUGUGAAAUCCCCGGGCUUAACCUGGGAACCGCAUUUGUGACUGCAUAGCUGGAGUACGGCAGAGGGGGAUGGAAUUCCGCGUGUAGCAGUGAAAUGCGUAGAUAUGCGGAGGAACACCGAUGGCGAAGGCAGUCCCCUGGGCCUGUACUGACGCUCAUGCACGAAAGCGUGGGGAGCAAACAGG
rnacentral:rRNA from 1 species